GCCGAGGUCGCUUAGCCUGGUAGAGCGCGGGCCUUGAGAGCCUGUGUGCGCAAGCACGCGGGGGUUCGAAUCCCUCUCUCGGCG
rnacentral:tRNA from 1 species